CAGCCGCCGCGGUAACACGGAGGGUGCAAGCGUUAUCCGGAUUUAUUGGGUUUAAAGGGUCCGUAGGCGGAUCUGUAAGUCAGUGGUGAAAUCUCACAGCUUAACUGUGAAACUGCCAUUGAUACUGCAGGUCUUGAGUAAAUUUGAAGUGGCUGGAAUAAGUAGUGUAGCGGUGAAAUGCAUAGAUAUUACUUAGAACACCAAUUGCGAAGGCAGGUCACUAAGAUUUAACUGACGCUGAUGGACGAAAGCGUGGGGAGCGAACAGGAUUAGAUACCCGCGUAGUCCCUGUCUCUUAUAC
rnacentral:rRNA from 1 species